AACGAACGCUGGCGGCAUGCCUAACACAUGCAAGUCGAACGAAGUCUUCGGACUUAGUGGCGCACGGGUGCGUAACGCGUGGGAAUCUGCCCUUGGGUACGGAAUAACUCAGAGAAAUUUGUGCUAAUACCGUAUAAUGUCUUCGGACCAAAGAUUUAUCGCCCAAGGAUGAGCCCGCGUAAGAUUAGCUAGUUGGUGGGGUAAAAGCCUACCAAGGCGACGAUCUUUAGCUGGUCUGAGAGGAUGAUCAGCCACACUGGGACUGAGACACGGCCCAGACUCCUACGGGAGGCAGCAGUGGGGAAUAUUGGACAAUGGGCGAAAGCCUGAUCCAGCAAUGCCGCGUGAGUGAUGAAGGCCCUAGGGUUGUAAAGCUCUUUUACCAGGGAUGAUAAGGACAGUACCUGGAGAAUAAGCUCCGGCUAACUCCGU
rnacentral:rRNA from 1 species